UCCCUAGUGGUCCAGUGGUUAAGACUUUGUGUUUUCACUGCAGGGGGCCCAGGUUCAAUCCCUAGCUGGGGAC
rnacentral:tRNA from 1 species